UCCUUCUCUCCUUUCUCUUGUCUUCGGCCGUUUCUACCAAACACAAAGGGUUUCGGGUUUUGGUUCGUUUGAUAUUAAGGGUGAUUAACAAAAGUUGUUCGGUUCGUGAUCAAGUACUAGCAUACCUACAUUCUAACGUUGUGUGUGCGAUCGUAGAGAGGUUUAUUUUAAACCUUUUCCAUAAAGUUUCUUGCUUUAUACUCUUCAAUCUAAGCUAGUAUAUAUAUAAGGUGCAUAUAUGUGUGUCCAACUUAAUUACCUGUGGCUUGGUGGCUUCAGCAGCAAACCCAAAAGCAGCAGACAACAAUACGAGCGUGGCUAAAACCCCAAUGAUUCUUAUUCUUGGAGUUUGUUGGGAAUUAUGGAAGGUUGAUUCCAUGGGAUAUAUGCAAAAUGUCGGAAGCUAGCUGCUUCGAGUGAUCGAACGGCAAACAAGGAAAACAAGACAAUAGUUUAGGAUAAACAACUAGCUGCUUCCUUAAAGUGGACUACAGAAGAAAAGUUACAAGGAAAAGACAAUAGUUUAGGUUAAACAACUUAACAUAUUUGAACUUAACAUGGAGUUCUUAACUAAAUGAGUUUUUAGUUAAGAUGAUGUAAAAUAAUUAUGAAAAGAAAAAAUAUUGGAAUGUUAAGUUCAACUUUGGAAAGGAAAUAAAAAGGAAUACAAGUCAUCUUUGACAAUAUGUAGCUUUUUCCGAAAACUUUUAUAAUUUUGUAAAGGAGGUCAAACUUCAAAUGAUAUCCAAGGCCCAAUAUAGUAUGUUUUGACUUUUGACCCAACCCGUUAC